rnacentral:rRNA from 1 species
AACGAACGCUGGCGGCAUGCCUAACACAUGCAAGUCGAACGAGAUCUUCGGGUCUAGUGGCGCACGGGUGCGUAACGCGUGGGAAUCUGCCCUUUGGUUCGGAAUAACAGUUGGAAACGACUGCUAAUACCGGAUGAUGACGACAGUCCAAAGAUUUAUCGCCAGAGGAUGAGCCCGCGUAGGAUUAGCUAGUUGGUGUGGUAAAGGCGCACCAAGGCGACGAUCCUUAGCUGGUCUGAGAGGAUGAUCAGCCACACUGGGACUGAGACACGGCCCAGACUCCUACGGGAGGCAGCAGUGGGGAAUAUUGGACAAUGGGCGAAAGCCUGAUCCAGCAAUGCCGCGUGAGUGAUGAAGGCCUUAGGGUUGUAAAGCUCUUUUACCCGGGAUGAUAAUGACAGUGCCGGGAGAAUAAGCUCCGGCUAACUCCGUGCCAGCCGCCGCCGUAAGAC